rnacentral:sRNA from 1 species
GUGCGGCGGGAUGUGGCCCGGAAUAUUGGUGGGGGGGGCCCGGGUGGCGUCAUGCAGGUACCCCGCGCUGGGGCCUCGCCUCGCCGCUCACUUUCCAGCGCAGCGGCCGCCGCAGCGGACACCCCAGACCGGCCUGGCCCUGCAGCGGAGCCUGCACGCGACGGCGGCCCGGGCUCUCCCGCUCAUUCCCAUCGUGGUGGAGCAGACGGGUCGCGGCGAGCGCGCCUAUGACAUCUACUCGCGGCUGCUGCGGGAGCGCAUCGUGUGCGUCAUGGGCCCGGUGAGCGCCCCGCGCCGGGACCCUCCCCGGGACUCUUCCAAGCGCCUGCCCAGACCCCCUGCGCCCCUUCUCCCCUGGCCCCAGACUUUCUUCCCCCAGGCUCCGCUCCCCUUCUAACCCCCUUCCCUCCCCUUCUCACUCCCCUCCCGGCUCCCGGUCCCCCACCCCGCUCCUCACCCCGUCUCUGCUCCUCGCCUCUUAAUUUCCGACUUCCUUCCUGACACCUGGCACCGCUCCGCUCAUUCCUAGGCUCAAGACUCUCCCCAACCAUUUUCACCCCUUCCUUUCCUGUGUCCUGAGCCCCCUGACUCCCCCCUUCCUGUGCUCCAAACCCCCUGGGUCCUCUGCACUACUCUCUCCCCAUCGCCUUCUGGGUCCUAAAUUCUUAACCACCCCUUUUACUUGGGCUCUGGUCCCCCUUCCUGGUUCCCUGACCCAUCCCCAGCCUCCCUUAAAACUCUCUCCCUACCCCGAAUCUGGGGACACUCCUGCCCUCUCCACCUGCAGAUCGAUGACAGCGUUGCCAGCCUUGUUAUCGCACAGCUCCUCUUCCUGCAAUCCGAGAGCAACAAGAAGCCCAUCCACAUGUACAUCAACAGCCCUGGUGGUGUGGUGACUGCGGGCCUGGCCAUCUACGACACGAUGCAGUACAUCCUCAACCCGAUCUGCACCUGGUGCGUGGGCCAGGCCGCCAGCAUGGGCUCCCUGCUUCUCGCUGCCGGCACCCCGGGCAUGCGCCACUCGCUCCCCAACUCCCGUAUCAUGAUCCACCAACCCUCAGGAGGCGCCCGGGGCCAAGCCACAGACAUUGCCAUCCAGGCAGAGGAGAUCAUGAAGCUCAAGAAGCAGCUCUAUAACAUCUAUGCCAAGCACACCAAACAGACCCUGCAGGUGAUCGAGUCUGCCAUGGAGAGGGACCGCUACAUGAGCCCCAUGGAGGCCCAGGAGUUCGGCAUCUUAGACAAGGUUCUGGUCCACCCUCCCCAGGACGGUGAGGAUGAGCCCACGCUGGUGCAGAAGGAGCCUGUAGAAGCAGCACCGGCGGCAGAACCUGUCCCAGCUAGCACC